CCCCAACCCGCCCCCGGGCCGGCGAUCGUCCGUUUCGUCCGCUCGACGCCAUUCCUCUAUCCAAUUUCCUUUUCCUUCUCUAAUUCGAAGGUAACGAGGAUGUCGAUGGAGGAAGCGAAGGUGGUGAUCCCCGAGUCGGUGCUGAAGAAUCGGAAGAGAAAAGCGCAUAGGGCGCUGGCGAAGAAGCAGGAGCGCGAGAACCGGGAGCUAAUCUUCACCCGCGCCAGCAGUACGCCAAGUAGCACGAGGCACAGGAGAAGGAGCUGAUCCGAUCGUAGAGGGAGGGGAGGAUGAAGGGUGGAUUCUACGUCAGCCCGGAGGCCAAGCUUCUAUUCAUCAUCCGCUUCCGAGGCUCCUUCGACUCAGACAGGUAAAGAGUCAAGUCGCCAUCUUUCAGUUUGGUGUAGUUUCACUACUACCCACGCUUGUUAGUGCUAUGUUGCAGACAAUCAACAGUGUAUUUCUGAAAGUUAACAAGGCCACGAUGAACAUGUUGCAGACGGUGGAGCCUUAUGUGACAUGUGGGUACUAAAUGCUAUGCUCUCCGGGAUUCAUUUGUAGCAUUAUUAUGCUCAGUUUAGUUAGACACAAGGUUUGUCGUGUUCGGUAUGGGCGAUAUAUACUUGUCUAAUAGGAGGACCGAUAUAGAUGGUACAUACUGAUUUGUCAAUACAUUCUACCAUACCAUGUGUUAGUACAUCAGUAUAAUUUGGUACAUGUCAAUAAGUUGGUUGGUACAUUGGUACGGACCGGUAAGACAAAUCAUGAUUAGACAUAUUCUAAUAAAUAAUGUGUCUCAGGUAUCCUAAUCUUAAGAUUGUUAGGGAAUUGAUUUACAAGAGGGGAUAUGGAAAGUUGAACAAGCAAAGAAUUCCUUUGGCAGACAAUUCAAUCAUUGAGCAUGUCUGUUAUAAGUGGCAUGUCUUGUGCCUGUUUGAUAUGUUCCUGAUUACAAUUUAUUCUUUCUAGUUUACAUGUUGAAU